UAGGGAAUCUUCGGCAAUGGGGGCAACCCUGACCGAGCAACGCCGCGUGAGUGAAGAAGGUCUUCGGAUCGUAAAGCUCUGUUGUAAGUCAAGAACGAGUGUGAGAGUGGAAAGUUCACACUGUGACGGUAGCUUACCAGAAAGGGACGGCUAACUACGUGCCAGCAGCCGCGGUAAUACGUAGGUCCCGAGCGUUGUCCGGAUUUAUUGGGCGUAAAGCGAGCGCAGGCGGUUUGAUAAGUCUGAAGUUAAAGGCUGUGGCUCAACCAUAGUUCGCUUUGGAAACUGUCAAACUUGAGUGCAGAAGGGGAGAGUGGAAUUCCAUGUGUAGCGGUGAAAUGCGUAGAUAUAUGGAGGAACACCGGUGGCGAAAGCGGCUCUCUGGUCUGUAACUGACGCUGAGGCUCGAAAGCGUGGGGAGCGAACAGGAUUAGAUACCCUGGUAGUCCACGCCGUAAACGAUGAGUGCUAGGUGUUGGAUCCUUUCCGGGAUUCAGUGCCGCAGCUAACGCAUUAAGCACUCCGCCUGGGGAGUACGACCGCAAGGUUG
rnacentral:rRNA from 1 species